rnacentral:rRNA from 1 species
GAUGAACGCUGGCGGCGUGCCUAAUACAUGCAAGUCGAGCGAACAGACGAGGAGCUUGCUCCUCUGACGUUAGCGGCGGACGGGUGAGUAACACGUGGAUAACCUACCUAUAAGACUGGGAUAACUUCGGGAAACCGGAGCUAAUACCGGAUAAUAUAUUGAACCGCAUGGUUCAAUAGUGAAAGACGGUUUUGCUGUCACUUAUAGAUGGAUCCGCGCCGCAUUAGCUAGUUGGUAAGGUAACGGCUUACCAAGGCAACGAUGCGUAGCCGGCCUGCGAGGGUGAUCGGCCACACUGGAACUGAGACACGCUCCAGACUCCUACGGGAGUCAGCAGUAGGGAAUCUUCCGCAAUGGGCGAAAGCCUGACGGAGCAACGUCGCGUGAGUGAUGAAGGUCUUCGGAUCGUAAAACUCUGUUAUGAGGUAAGAACAAUUGUGUAAGUAACUAUGCACGUCUUGACGGUACCUAAUCAGAAAGCCACGGCUAACUACGUG